rnacentral:rRNA from 1 species
AUAGCGUAUAUUAAAGUUGUUGCAGUUAAAAAGCUCGUAGUUGAAUUUUAGGCCUGGUUGGACGGUCUGCUCUAGGGUUUGUACUGUCCUGACCGGGCCUUACCUUCUGGUGAGCUGUCGUGUUGUUUACUCAGCGCGGCAGGGAACCAGGACUUUUACUUUGAAAAAAUUAGAGUGUUUAAAGCAGGCAUUCGCUUGAAUACAUUAGCAUGGAAUAAUAGAAUAGGACUUUGGUUCUAUUUUGUUGGUUUCUAGGACCGAAGUAAUGAUUAAUAGGGAUAGUCGGGGGCAUCAGUAUUCAAUUGUCAGAGGUGAAAUUCUUGGAUUAAUUGAAGACUAACUACUG